rnacentral:lncRNA from 1 species
AAGCGCCGACUUAGCCGAUAAGUCUGCCUCAGUGUUUAGGGAACGAGAAAUAAAAGACGAAGAACAAAUUUCAAACAGAGAGGAUAGAACUUUGAUGGCUCUGGCUAUUCUGUAAAGUUAGACCGGUGGUGACUUCGAAAGGAUUACUCUAACGAGCAGUUGACAGACUGAAAAAACACAGACUUUGUUGAAACCCAAUGAUAGGGCGUGAAAAAUAUAUAUUUGCUAAAGUGUUUUCGGUGAUUGAUAUACGGAUUCAAAAACCUUUUUCUUAAACAAAUACAUAGAAAUUACAGGAAUAUGAAAAAGGUUUUGAAGCAUACUACUAUUUUUUAUGAAAUAUAUAUAUAUAUAUAUAUAUAUAUAUAAUAAAAUUAAAUAUAUAAAUUAUAGGAAAAUUAAAUUAACAUAAAUUGAGUAAACAAAUACCAAGACUUGUAAUGAAAACAAUGAUUUUUUACUGUCAAAGUUAAAGAUUAAGAACAUCAUUUUAUUCUUAUUCCAUCGUUUCUAUUAAAAACUGUCUUAAACUCUGAUUCCUCUAGUGAAAGAUCUUUAAAUUCCUAAAAACAUUUGACCAACAAAUAUUAAAAUUUAAUUUAAUGCAAUGAAUCAAAUUAAUUAUUUAUUACUAAAAUCUCAAACUGAUCAUUUAACUAUCAUACAUUUUAAAAUAUUUACUUAUAUGUUUUAACAGAACAUUUACACAUCUAAUGUAAACAACAUUUUUAAACAAUUUGCGCAUUUCCAACAUAUUUUGAAACCUUUCCGAAACCAUAAAAAAAAGCAACCUCAUAUGAAUAUUUCAUGCAAUCCAAGUUAUAUAAAAAUAAAUAAAAUAAAGAUACUUCAAAAAACAUGUUACCGUAAUAACAUUAGUAUAUUAGAGGAUACUUUUGAGAUA